rnacentral:ncRNA from 1 species
AUAGUUUGUACUGAACCUUUACCGAAAGAUGGUGUUCCGAUUAGAACAGCUCUUUCAUGGUCUUGUAGCGCGCCAGCGACUAUUUCUGAUGCUGAAGCCGAACCGCCAUUAAUGAGGAUAACUAUCGGUUCUUGACUCAAGACACUAGCAUCUGUUGCUUCAUAUUUUGAUUCGAGGAAUUCAUCUCGACCUUUGAUGGUCACAAUAAGUCCUCUACUGAUGAAAGCAUCCACCACCUCAAUGGCCGCUGAAAGAACACCACCUGGAUUAUUUC